AUACGUAGGGUGCAAGCGUUGUCCGGAAUUAUUGGGCGUAAAGCGCGCGCAGGUGGUUCCUUAAGUCUGAUGUGAAAGCCCCCGGCUCAACCGGGGAGGGUCAUUGGAAACUGGGGAACUUGAGUGCAGAAGAGGAUAGUGGAAUUCCAAGUGUAGCGGUGAAAUGCGUAGAGAUUUGGAGGAACACCAGUGGCGAAGGCGACUUUCUGGUCUGUAACUGACACUGAGGCGCGAAAGCGUGGGGAGCAAACAGGAUUAGAUACCCUGGUAGUCCACGCCGUAAACGAUGAGUGCUAAGUGUUGGGGGGUUUCCGCCCCUCAGUGCUGCAGCUAACGCAUUAAGCACUCCGCCUGGGGAGUACGGUCGCAAGACUGAAACUCAAAUGAAUUGGCGGGG
rnacentral:rRNA from 1 species